rnacentral:lncRNA from 1 species
UCUUCUCAAACCAAGACAUUCUUCGUAUGAUUUCACUUCUUCUCCCUUUUCUCACUUCUAAUGUAAUCGACAUCUCCCUACUUUUCUAGGGUAUCAUUUUAUUUUUUCAACGAUUCCUUUUCUUUUUUUAUGAACUCUCUCUUUUCUCUUUUCUUUUUCAUUCGGGUAUUCAUGAGAUCCGAAGUAUGCACGGGUUUACGCAACAUCCCUCACAUCACUUCUACCUAUAGCCUUUUCCACAGUUUCUUUUAAAGGCUGAAGGGAAGAGAGAAAGAAGGAAUCAUACUUUGAAGAAGUGCAGUGUCUUGUG